rnacentral:rRNA from 1 species
GUAUCAUGGCUCAGGAUGAACGCUGGCGGCGUGCUUAACACAUUCAAGUCGAACGGAGAACGGGGAGCUUGCUCCCCGGGAUCAGUGGCGGACGGGUGAGUAACGCGUGAGCAACCUGCCUGUGUGUGGGGGAUAACACCCGGAAACGGGUGCUAAUACCGCAUAACGCAACGGAGCCGCAUGACUUUGUUGCCAAAGAUAUAUUGCGCACAGAUGGGCUCGCGUCUGAUUAGAUAG